rnacentral:rRNA from 1 species
AGAGGUUGAUCCUGGCUCAGGACGAACGCUGGCGGCGUGCUUUACACAUGCAAGUCGAGCGAUGAGAUCCCUUCGGGGAAGGAUUAGCGGCGAACGGGUGAGGAACACGUGAGGAAUCUGCCUUCAACACUGGGAUAACUCCGGGAAACCGGGGCUAAUACCGGAUACGAGACCUGCAGGCAUCUGCGGGUCUGGAAAGUUUUUCGGUUGAAGAUGACCUCGCGGCCUAUCAGCUUGUUGGUGAGGUAAUGGCUCACCAAGGCGACGACGGGUAGCCGGCCUGAGAGGGCGACCGGCCACACUGGGACUGAGACACGGCCCAGACUCCUACGGGAGGCAGCAGUGGGGAAUAUUGGGCAAUGGAGGGAACUCUGACCCAGCGACGCCGCGUGCGGGAUGAAGGCCUUCGGGUUGUAAACCGCUUUCAGCAAGGAAGAAGCGAAAGUGACGGUACUUGCAGAAGAAGCACCGGCUAACUAUGUGCCAGCAGCCGCGGUAAUACAUAGGGUGCAAGCGUUGUCCGGAAUUAUUGGGCGUAAAGAGCUCGUAGGUGGUUCGUCACGUCGGAUGUGAAAAUCUGGGGCUUAACCCCAGACCUGCAUUCGAUACGGGCGAGCUAGAGUGUGGUAGGGGAGACUGGAAUUCCUGGUGUAGCGGUGGAAUGCGCAGAUAUCAGGAGGAACACCAAUGGCGAAGGCAGGUCUCUGGGCCAUUACUGACACUGAGGAGCGAAAGCGUGGGGAGCGAACAGGAUUAGAUACCCUGGUAGUCCACGCCGUAAACGGUGGGCACUAGUUGUGGGAACCCUCCACGGUUUCUGCGACGCAGCUAACGCAUUAAGUGCCCCGCCUGGGGAGUACGAUCGCAAGAUUAAAACUCAAAGGAAUUGACGGGGCCCCGCACAAGCAGCGGAGCAUGCGGCU